GAAAAUUAAAUGUGCAUGCUAUGAUUCAAGACAAAAAUUAAAUGGUUAGUAAUCACAAGAAAUAUCAUGAUGAAUAAGACAUAAGAAAUGAUAAGCAAGAAUUAAGACAAAUAAUAAUUAAGAUCAUCAUAUAAGAAAUAAACAAAGAAAAUUAAGAAAAAAAAUAAAAAUAAAUAGGAUGGACUUUUAAAAUUAGAGAAAAUUAAAAUAGUGAGAAAAGUAUUUUUUUAGAAUUUUUCUAAACACAAAAAUGUCAAAAAGUGUAAAAAACAGUAUUUAAAAAUAAAGAUAAACAAAAAUAAGAAAUAAUAAAACAUUGGCUCAGCAGGAUUAAUUCUGGACCAUUGGAUCAAAUCAAUAGUCCAGAUUCAUUCACUGGAUUCAUCACAGCCAUUGGAUCCAACGAUCCAAGGGUCACAAAAACAACAUAGAAACAAAGGGAUUAAAAUGAAGACACAGUGACCGUCAGAUCAACGAUCUGACGGUCCAAACAGAAACCACACCACACUCACGCAGAAAAAACACACAAUUGAUUUAAAAACAGAUCAUACGGUAGCCGUCAGAUCAAGGAACGAUCCAGAUCUGAUGGCUACCAACGCGAUGGAACAUCAUAAGAUUAUGAAUACGCGCACGUGUGAUCCAGCAAAAAGAAAAAGCACUAUAAAAGCAAUUUUAACAAAAAAACACAACAAAAACCAAAACACUUCUCUCUCUAAGUUAAACUUAGAGAGAGAAGCUCUCUCCUCCCUCAAGAACACGCGACCGGAGAAGAUGAAGAGGGGCGGCCGGAGCUGCUCCGGCGCGGUGGUCGGCCGGAGCGCCGCCGCGCCGGAGUUUUUUUUUUUGCUUUUUUUUGAAAUUUUUUUACAUCAAAAUACUCCUCUUCCCUUCCUCUACUCGAAUCCAAGCUUAAAAUUUCGAAAACAUGCACCAAAAAUCCUAGAUCUACAAAUGAAAAAUGCGAAAUUUUUACCUCUUUUCCGGUCCGGUUCGGCGCUCUCUCCCUCUGGUCCGGUUCGUUUUGUCCUUCACAGCUCCGGUUCGUGUUGUUCUUCACAGAUCCGGUUCGUGUUGUUGCUCCGGUUCUGUUUGGUUUUGAUUCGGUUUGCUUGGAACUGAUUUCGUGAUUGUUGUUUGAGGUUAUGUGAGGUUUGGAUUUGUUGCUGUUAGUGAUGAACAGCUUCGAAUUUGAGCUUCUGGAAUUUAUCUGUUCUUCAUGUUCAUAUGAUGUUCAUGAUGAACUUUGUGAAUUUUGUGUAUUUGAUUUGAAAAAGGAAAAAAAGAGAAAAUGAAAGGUGUUUCUGAUGGUGAUUGGUGACUGCAGAACUGAUUGGGGGACUGUCUGUACAGUGAUUUUUCCUGACCCAUUUCCCAAUGAUUGACAGUGUAUUUUAUAGUGACAAACUAGGGUUGGCUCUGGUACAAAACAAAGACCAAAAUGCCCCUGCAGCUGAGACUUGGAGAAAAAGAUUUGACAAAAAAGGAUAAAUAAAUAAAUAAAAAACAAAAUGAGUAAAAUAAAAUAAAAAAAUAAAAAGGAAAGAAAAGAGAAGGAAAGAAAAAGAAGUCACGUGAGUGACUUUUAUAAAAAUAAAUAAUAAAAAACAAAACUAGCUUAAAAAAAAAAAAAGAUAGAAAAAAAAAUAAAAAGUCCCUUCGGAAUCCGACAUGAGGUACUUCAAAGUAUCCUCCCUGCCGGAAUUUCGGUUGAAAUGAUUUUAAAAAAAACGCCUUUUAAAAUGCGAUUAGUCCUUCUCUUUUUGACGUGAUCGUUACGAUUUAAAAAAAAGACUAUGCGACAUAAAAAUGAAAGUGAGACGGAUUUAAUCGUCGUGAAAUGCGAAC
rnacentral:lncRNA from 1 species